UACGGAGGAUGCAAGCGUUAUCCGGAUUUAUUGGGUUUAAAGGGUGCGCAGGCGGAAAGAUAAGUCAGUGGUGAAAAACUGCCGCUUAACGGUAGUCUUGCCAUUGAUACUGUUUUUCUUGAGUAUGGAUGAGGUAGGCGGAAUGUGCAGUGUAGCGGUGAAAUGCAUAGAUAUUGCACGGAACUCCGAUUGCGAAGGCAGCUCACAAAGCCAAGAUUGACGCUGAGGCACGAAAGUGUGGGGAUCAAACAGGA
rnacentral:rRNA from 1 species